UCCACCUUCCCCUGCUCGCCUGCGUGCUCCGGCAACCUUCCCCUGCUCGCCCCCGCUCACCUGCGUGCUCUGGCAACAACCGCUUUCGGACUUCGGUUUCCCUCCACCGGCGCUCCAAAGGUAACCACGCUUCCUCCCUCGCCCCCUCCGUCCACCCCACCCCCUCCACCGUAAUCCGAUUCCCAUUGCUAGGGUUCGUCGUGUUGGGUUGGAGUAAACACGGCAGCGGCAGCGGCUCUUCCCCCUCCCCCUCAUCGGAUUCCUCAUGCUGCGAUUUAUUUAGGGUUUAGGGUUCGUCGUCCGAUUCGUGUGCUUCCCAUUUUUCCCCCAAAGUUCUUUGCUUCUGCAACAUCCGGUGUCUUCCACAUUGGAGCUCCAUGUCUCCAGAACUCCGUUGUGUGAUGGCUUCCACAUGCCGACGGCCUCCAUGGGGAAAAAGCGGUGAGUCUUCACUCCCAUCGUCGUCUCUGCUUUGGACCAUACGACUUCCCGGUCGAAUCUGGCGCCGCCCUUCGCUCUUGCCCGCUGUUUUACACCUGCUCCAGCCUUGCAACGGCGCCCCCUACCCUUGUCCCCGCCCGUGGCCCCGCUGCUGCUCCAGCCUUGCAACGACCAGACGCCUCGCUGAUGGCUUUGGCUCGCCUCGGACGGUCUUUUCCGGCCGCCUCCACCGCUCUGUCUACCGUCCACCGGCGCCCAACGUAACACCUCUGCCCACCCUAUUCGCUCGUUCUAGAUCUCCAUGGAUUUAUGCAACCGCACCCGGUUCCAUUUCGGUUUCAGAGGCUACCAUGCCUCUGUUUCCCGACCCUUCGCUCCAACCCACACAGGCGUAUGCGUACGAGGUUAUUUGGUUGAUGCUGUGAUGGCCUGCUUCAGCUAAUCUGUUCCUGUUUAAGUCCUGCUUACAAGAGGAAUUAGUGACUUCGGUACACCAGGUUCGAAGUUGUAAUGAACAAAAGGUAACUGCGGGGUAAUAGCCUAGUGUCUUUAUUUUCCAUUUUAGUUCUAUAAGGCAAAUUCACAGCCAGCUAGUCAGCUACCUCUCAAAGCUUCUGUCAAAUCUCCGAGGACUCACCCCCUUUGGAGAUCUGGCGAUCUGGGAGCAGAAAUACGAGUCCGAAAUUUAUCACCAGUAUUAUUUCUAAAUUGCUUUCUGCACCACUCCGGUCAUAUCGCUUGACAGAAUUAUUCGCAUAUCUAUCAGUGCAUUCCCUUCCAUCUUCACCAUUUCUGCCAUGCUUAUUUUCCCUAUCGUAACCAUAAAGAAGUCUUCCUUGUGUCAGACGGUAGAAUUCUCCAGACCUUGGUCGUCCUUGGGAGUCCAUGACAUCAAAUCUGUCAUUCCGUGAGGUAAUUCUCAGAGGUGAGCUUCUCCUUGAAUACCUUUUAUUAUGAUCAUCAGAAAUAUCCACUGCUGAACCAUUCCUUCCAUCAACCCAUGUCGAAGCAUUCUUGGAGUAAGUGUUGUUUCUUGAUAGUGGACUGGAACACAUAGCUCGAUCAUCAUAUCCAGGACCAGGUUGUCUCCGAGGUGAAGCCAUUCUACCAAUUUCACCUUUAGUCAUGUGAUUAGGUGGAGAUCUACUAUGCUUCCAUAAAGUUGAACCUCCAUUUGCCAUGAUCUUGCCUCUGUUCCUAGGUGCCCAAUCAUGUGGGGAUCGAGACCUGGACCCAGAAGGAGAUCUGCUGUGAGCACGGGAAAGGUUAAGUGAUGCUCUAAAUGUCGGGGUGCCUCGUUGUCUACUGGACAGCGAGCAAUGGACAGAACUCAAAUUUGCAUCAGUAGUAUGAUUUUUCUCUAUUUCAGAACCAUAUCGACUGGACCGGUUACUAUUUGCACCAAAAGGAUUAAGUUUCUGAUUUAUCUCUGCCUUAUUUAGCUCGUCUGUUGUGGUGACUUUUGCUUCUUGCUGAUGCUGAUUAUGCUUCCGGUUAUGAGCCACAAAACAAUAUUGAUCGGCAACCUGUAGUUUUGCCUCAGUUCGUCGCUUGCUGUCUCUGUUAAAUGACCAAGAAUAAAGUUUAGUACUUCACACAGUAGGCAUCCAAUAAAACAGUAUCAUAAUUCCAAAGGUCAGUAACGCAAACAAACACCUUCUAAAUCUUUUCCGUUUGCUGCAGCAGCCAUGAGAUUCUCCUUGAUCUGUUUGCGCCAUUUAUUCCUCUCUUGAACAAUAUCUUGACUAUUCCCGCUAGUGAACAGCGAGACAUAUUUCUCAUUCUUAGGGAAGAACUACAAAUGAGUUGAGAUAUAGAAGCUUUAGCUCAGGAUUCAAGCAGGUACAGAUAAAAAAUGGUUGAUUAGAACCUCCAAUAUAAUGCAAAGAGAAUGAUACAUCACAGAAAACAAAGUUGUAAUGAUACAUAUAUGUCAUAUCAUCAUGGGCAGGGUAGUAAUGUAGGAAGCUUACUCUGACAUAUUCAAGAUCUUCUCGCAAUUUUGACAGAUUAUUGUUGACACCAUCACCAUUUGAACGUUGUUGCUUCUCGAGUCGCCUUAUCAUCCUCUCAAUCUUCCGUCUCUCCCCUGCUUCUUUAUCACUCCUAUUUUCCAGAUAACAUAUACAUAAAAAAGGGGGGAUGCUCUUUGUUGGCUUCCUGCUUCUGCGUAUAACAUACUAAUUUCGCUAUAUAAUAUACGUAUAUACCUUAACUGCGGCAUCUACUGAUUUGGAUUUUUUCUUCAUAGUAGACCAGGAUAAACUGGAGUUCCAAAUCGUAGUCCGUGUCAACAAGUUCAGUCUCACCAAUCUUAUCAGGUCAUCUCAAGUCCAGUGACUCAUCAACCAG
rnacentral:lncRNA from 1 species